rnacentral:lncRNA from 1 species
GCCAACCCAACUACAUCAAGUAUUAUAAAAAAAAAACAUUAUUUUGAUGCCCAACCGUUAAAUAAAUAUGAAAUUUAUUUAUCCAACAAUAUAAAUAGAUCUAAAACUUAUUUACUCAAAUUUUAAUCAAAUAACACCAAUCACUAUAGCAAAGCAACAUAAAAAUUUUCUUUAGAUGCUCAAAACAACCUAAUAUAUUGAUGACAUACCUAUAAAUCAAUGUUGGUGUGUAUAUUUGAUGCUCUCAUAGACCUCGUUCAAAGAUAAUAGAUGAUACGAUGGAAAAUAGAUAAGAAAGAUAGAAUAUGGAUGAGAGAAAAAAAAAUUGGAUGAAAGUGCCAAAAAAAGUCAUCGAAAUUAGGGUUUUAUGAAAAAACCCUAAAAAAAAAAAAAAGCGGGAAACAUAUACGGUAAUAUGAAUACUGUAUAGUUUAUCCAAUUUAUUACGGUACUUCGUGUACCGUAAUCUUCAGUUAUAAAAAUACGGUAGUUUUUCUAGCGUAAAAGUAGUUCAUUU